UGGGCGUAAGCGCACGCAGGCGGUCUGUCAAGUCGGAUGUGAAAUCCCCGGGCUCAACCUGGGAACUGCAUUCGAAACUGGCAGGCUAGAGUCUUGUAGAGGGGGGUAGAAUUCCAGGUGUAGCGGUGAAAUGCGUAGAGAUCUGGAGGAACACCGGUGGCGAAGGCGGCCCCCUGGACAAUUACUGACGCUCAGGUGCGAAAGCGUGGGGAGCAAACAGGAUUAGAUACCCUGGUAGUCCACGCCGUAAACGAUGUCUGCUUGGAGGUUGUGCCCUUGCGGCGUGGCUUCCGGAGCUAACGCGUUAAGUCGACCGCCUGGGGAGUACGGCCGCAAGGUUAAAACUCAAAUGAAUUGACGGGGGCCCGCCCAAGCGGUGGAGCAUGUGGUUUAAUUCCAUGCAACGCUCAAAAACCUUACCUACUCUUGACAUC
rnacentral:rRNA from 1 species